AGAUGAAUAAAUAAAAGCUUCUAACUUUUUUAAAGUUUUAUAAACUAUCAUCUU
rnacentral:tRNA from 1 species